UCCGUGCCGUUAACAACAGGCUCAGUGCAUUGUCCUUUCACAUAAGAGAAUACUACUGGGUUGACAUGAAGAAGAUAAAUGAGAUAUACAGAUACAAGACAGAAGAAUACUCCCAUGAUGCAACUAACAAAUUCAACAUUUACCCUGAGCAAAUCCCUUCCUGGCUUGUUGACUGGAUUCCUGAGAAAGGAGGUUACCUUAUUGGGAAUCUGCAGCCAGCUCACAUGGAUUUUAGGUUCUUCUCUCUUGGCAACCUUUGGGCCAUAGCAUCAUCUCUAACUACUCCAAAACAAGCUGAGGGAAUUCUUAGCCUUAUUGAAGAAAAGUGGGAUGAUCUUGUAGCAAAUAUGCCCCUCAAGAUAUGCUAUCCUGCAAUGGAAGAUGAUGAAUGGCGCAUUAUUACUGGCAGUGAUCCUAAGAACACGUAAGCAUCCUGUUGAAUCAAUCUUUGUCUUCCUGCAUCUCUUGGUUUGUGAUAUUUCCGUUUUGUGGGUCUCUAUUUAUUUUUUAAGAUUAAAGUUCUCUUUCUUAAACAUCGCAUCAGUUGUUGACAUCUAGCCAUUCCGUGCAUGUGCAGCCCAUGGUCAUAUCAUAAUGGUGGAUCUUGGCCAACCCUGUUGUGGCAGGUACGUAGAUACCACUGCAAUGUUUUCAAAUUUCUUGCUCCUUUUCAUGCUUGUAGAUCAUUGAUGACUAAUCCUUGUUUCUGUUUACAGUUCACAUUGGCGUGCAUAAAAAUGGGCAGACCAGAAUUGGCUCGGAAGGCCAUUGCUGUGGCUGAGGACAGACUCUCAGACGACAAGUGGCCGGAGUACUAUGAUACCCGGUCUGGAAGGUUCAUUGGGAAGCAAUCACGAUCUUAUCAGACAUGGACUAUUGCUGGUUUUCUGACUUCAAAGAUGUUGCUGGAGAACCCAGAGCUGGCUUCUAUUCUGACCUGCGAUGAGGACCUUGAGCUGCUUGAAGGCUGUGCUUGUUGC
rnacentral:lncRNA from 1 species